GCCAGGCGUGGUGGCGCACACCUGUAAUCCCAGCUACUUGGGAGGCUGAGGCAGGAGAAUCGCUUGAACCCAGGAGGCAGAGGUUGCAGUGAGCUGAGAUCGCACCACUGCACUCCAGCCUGGGUGACAGAGCAAGACUCUGUCUCAA
rnacentral:SRP_RNA from 2 species